rnacentral:lncRNA from 1 species
CGAGAGUGAGAAAGAGAGAGGUGACGAAGAGUGAGUGAUGGAUGCAAGUAGGUUCAGACGCAGGCGAGCUCCUUCGCCAUGCCAAUGGACUUGCCGAUGGCGUUCUUGCAGACGGACAUGGUCUUGUUGUCGGACCUGUUGUACUUGAUGUCGACGUUGAUGAGCUGCACGCCCUGGCAGGGCAGGUUGUUGGCGCAGUUGAGCGUGAUGGCCUCCGGCGUGUUGGAGGUGCCGUGGAUGUUCUUGAAGACGACGUCGUUGACGGCCACCUUGGAGGCGCCGGACUUGACGCAGAUGUUGUUGGGGCAGUACUUCUGGUCUAUGAUGAUGGGGUAGGAGACGUUGUCCAUGGUGACGUCCUGGUACAGGAACUUGGUGGCCUUGAGCGACGACUUGGAGUCCUCGUACGACUUGAUGCGCAGGCCGUUGGUGGUGCCGGCGAGCGUGCACCCCGUCACCUUCACGUCCUCCACGUCCUUCUCGUCCUUGUACCGCCCC